UGAUGAUGGUGAUUAUGAUCAUGGUCAUGGUCAUGAUUGUGGUCAUGAUCGUGCUCAUGACCGUGCUCAUGGACAUGUUCAUGAUGGUGUUCGUGA
rnacentral:pre_miRNA from 1 species